CUGAGUUUUCUGGUGCCUGGGUGGGCAAGCACAAAUCAGAUCAGGCCUCUCCACAGGGGCAGCAGCGUUUCUCUGCCGUUGCCCAGACUUGGUGAGGGGCCCUGGAGGGUACUUCGUGGUCGAUGUGACUGCAGAUGGGCUUGAGGUUUAACCAAGAUUGCAAUGCGCAGGAGGGAAAGCUGCGUAUCCGAAAACCUCGUCUCCGGCUACGUCAGUCCACCUAUAUUCGUGUGCUGUUUACAGUAUAAUUUAUGGAAGAAGUGGUAUUCAGGCAUGCUGGUGGUGAUGAUGAAUUUGGUGUCUUUAACGCCUAAAGCAGGCAAUUGGCCAAACCAUUCCUCCUUUUUAUUCUGGGGGGAGUUUUCCAGCCACCAUUCUUGAGUCAAGGACACGUUUGCCACUUCCGUAGGAUCUUGCUGUACUGAUCACACCGGUUUAAUUCGAUGGACUACUGCCCCCUUCCCUACAAAAGCCCUGUAGUAGGAAAAGCCACAGUGGAAGAACUUACCAUCUUGAAGGGGAAGCAUGGAGUUGGACCACCCAGUGAAUCUACAAAGCAAGGAGACCUACAGUGAUUACCUACUGUGAUACUUAUUUGCCAAACUAAAGCCACUGAAGCCACAAAGACAUCUUGGGUUCUUCCCUACGGCUCCACUGAUUGUCAUGAAAUGCUUUGUUUCAAUGAGAUCAUGCUUGUUUGUCCUAAGAGGCUCCCGGUCCUACCACAGCCGCUUCCAUUCA